GAUGAAGAACGUAGCGAAAUGCGAUACUUGGUGUGAAUUGCAGAAUCCCGUGAACCAUCGAGUCUUUGAACGCAAGUUGCGCCCGAAGCCUCGGCUAAGGGCACGUCUGCCUGGGCGUCACGCAUCGCGUCUCCCCCAAACCGCCAAGGCGGAGGGGAAGGAAGAUGGCUUCCCGUGCCUCACCCGGGCGCGGUUGGCCUAAAUUUGGAGCCCGCGGCACUUAGCUCUCGCGGCGAUAGGUGGUGAACAAGGCCUUGGCCGUGCAAACAACCCGCUGCGAAGCUCUAUGUCACGUGCGCUCGUCGGACCCUUUGAAGUUGCCUUUGGUGACUUAAAACCUUUGCGACCCCAGGUCAGGCGGGGCUACCUGCUGAAUUUAAGCAUAUCAUAAGCGGAGGA
rnacentral:misc_RNA from 1 species